CCUCUACCAUCCCAGCUAUUGUGCAGCCAUCAAACUGCACAAUAGUUUGGCACAUGGUUCAAGUCAAAGAGGGUCUUUCAUCCUGAAAGAUUUUGAAGUGCUUCACAAACUGUGCUAACAUAAUUGCAGCACCAGCAGAAAUGCGACAGUAGCAGAACAAACAGAAUUUCUUACAUCUGGUUCUUGGUGCAAGGAAAUCUUGAACAUUUUGCCAAGUGUGCAGAGGUGGAUAGAAGAGGGAA